rnacentral:rRNA from 1 species
UCUUGGUCAUUUAGAGGAAGUAAAAGUCGUAACAAGGUUUCCGUAGGUGAACCUGCGGAAGGAUCAUUAUCGAAACAGAACGCCCGGGGGGAAAGGGGGAGCCCGACGGCCCGAGACUGUCGCCGGCCUCGCGCGCGUGCACGUCCCUCGCCGUCGCUCUUUCCGACCCUUUGAGGCUUUCGACCUUCUCAACACCUGUGCACCCGCUGUAGGUCCUUCGGGACCUACGUCUUUCUUCGAACCCGCAUGUCUACAGAACGUAUUCGUCGCGUCCCGGCCUCGACCCUCAGGGUCCCGCGUCGGCGACCGCAAAACCUAUUAUACAACUUUCAGCAACGGAUCUCUUGGCUCUCGCAUCGAUGAAGAACGCAGCGAAUCGCGAUAAGUAAUGUGAAUUGCAGAUUUUCCGUGAAUCAUCGAAUCUUUGAACGCACCUUGCGCUCCUUGGUAUUCCGAGGAGCAUGCCUGUUUGAGUGUCAUCGAAACCUCAGACCGACCCUUCGACCCCGUCGGAGCUCGGUCUGGACUUGUGGGAGUCUGCGGGCGAAGCGUGACUUCGUCGGCUCUCCUCAAAAGCAUUAGCCGUGGGUGGCGAGCCUGGCAUGGCACGGCCUCCUCGACGUCGUAAUGAUCUCGUGGGCUGGAAGUGUACGGCUCGACGGACCCAUGCUUCGCAAGUCUUGCGAGCCCGUCCCUCGCGGACGGCCGCGCCCCAUCGAAGCUUGACCUCAAAUCAGGUAGGACUACCCGCUGAACUUAAGCAUAUCAAUAAAGCGGAGGA